rnacentral:rRNA from 1 species
CGACGGGUGAGUAAUGUCUGGGAAACUGCCUGAUGGAGGGGGAUAACUACUGGAAACGGUAGCUAAUACCGCAUAACGUCGCAAGACCAAAGAGGGGGACCUUCGGGCCUCUUGCCAUCAGAUGUGCCCAGAUGGGAUUAGCUAGUAGGUGGGGUAACGGCUCACCUAGGCGACGAUCCCUAGCUGGUCUGAGAGGAUGACCAGCCACACUGGAACUGAGACACGGUCCAG